rnacentral:lncRNA from 1 species
UUCACCUGACAAUCACUGAUGAUAAAUAGAACUGGGACAGCCGUGGUAUGCCGCCAGUCAAACUGGUGCAGUUCUGGAGAAACACUCAGAGUUCUCUUUCAGCUUCGUGAGCAGUAAGACCCGCUGCCUCCUCAGUGCUACUGCUUUUAUUGAAAACUUGAGGGCACCGUGGCAUUUGCUUUAGAUGCGUGAUGGUGGAUGAAGGCACUAUAGCGCUGAUCAAACCUCAGGAGCCGACCCUCUGCAAGCAUUCUUUUCCUCAUUUGGACUUGG